GACGAACGCUGGCGGCGUGCCUAAUACAUGCAAGUAGAACGCACAGUUUAUACCGUAGCUUGCUACACCAUAGACUGUGAGUUGCGAACGGGUGAGUAACGCGUAGGUAACCUGCCUGGUAGCGGGGGAUAACUAUUGGAAACGAUAGCUAAUACCGCAUAAUAUUGAUUAUUGCAUGAUAAUUGAUUGAAAGAUGCUAUUGCAUCACUACCAGAUGGACCUGCGUUGUAUUAGCUAGUAGGUGAGGUAACGGCUCACCUAGGCGACGAUACAUAGCCGACCUGAGAGGGUGAUCGGCCACACUGGGACUGAGACACGGCCCAGACUCCUACGGGAGGCAGCAGUAGGGAAUCUUCGGCAAUGGACGAAAGUCUGACCGAGCAACGCCGCGUGAGUGAAGAAGGUUUUCGGAUCAUAAAGCUCUGUUGUAAGAGAAGAACGGGUGUGAGAGUGGAAAGUUCACACUGUGACGGUAUCUUACCAGAAAGGGACGGCUAACUACGUG
rnacentral:rRNA from 1 species